GGGCCCGCACAAGCGGUGGAGCAUGUGGUUUAAUUCGAUGCAACGCGAAGAACCUUACCAGGACUUGACAUACUACAAAUUCUUUUGAGAAAGAGAAGUGCCUUCGGGAAUGUAGAUACAGGUGGUGCAUGGCUGUCGUCAGCUCGUGUCGUGAGAUGUUGGGUUAAGUCCCGCAACGAGCGCAACCCUUAUUUUUAGUUACCAAUUCGUUGGGUUUUUUAGAAAGACUGCCGGUGACAAACCGGAGGAAGGUGAGGAUGACGUCAAGUCAGCAUGCCCCUUAUGUCCUGGGCUACACACGUGCUACAAUGGUUAAGACAAAGAGUUGCAAACUUGCGAAAGUGCGCUAA
rnacentral:rRNA from 1 species